GUAUCGAUUGAAACUGUCAAAGUUGAAAUUGGUCGAGUUCAAUGGUAAUCUAAGAGACUGGCUGCCUUUCUGGAGUCAAAUCUAAGGGAUUCACGAGGACGAACAAUUGUCGUCGGAAGAAUACUUGAUUCAGGCGACCGUUGUUGAUUCACCAGCUCGUGGAGUAGUCGGUAGCUUUCCACCGACGGGACACAAUUAUGGGAAAGCGAUCGAGCACCUGAAAUCGCGUUUUGGCAAAGAGAAUAUAUGUUAGUGGAAGUAUAGGUUCGAGACUUAUUGAAGCUGGUACUUACCAAUAAUGAUGGUAACCA